ACAGAGUCAAUGAAACUGCCUACCUUUUUUCGAAAACUACCGAAGGCUACAGAAUUCCUAACGCGUAUGUGUCGUCACCAAAUAGUGGGAGGUUGCUUAAUACGCAAUAUACCUUCGUGGUGAGCGAAUACGACAACUGCGACAUACUGCGAGUUCGCCAUCGGAACAACGGUUGUGAAUUAUGGUCCCUCAUGGAAAAGGUCAACGAAAUCAGCAGCCUGUGCCAUUUCAUCUAUGAUCUGUUGUGUGGCCCUGAGAAGUACAUAAUCUACGAUCCAGAAACUUGCGGGAAGGUACCACUGUGGCUUCAAUAAA